GUCUCUGUAGCGCAAUGGACAGACAGCGCUUUGGACUUCUAAUUCAAAGGUUGUGGGUUCGAAUCACUUCUGGGAUG